rnacentral:rRNA from 1 species
AAUAGAUACCCGGGUAGUCCACGCCGUAAACGUUGGAUACUAGGUGUGGCGGUCUACCAACGACUGCCGUGCCGAAGCUAACGCAUUAAGUAUCCCGCCUGGGGAGUACGGCCGCAAGGCUAAAACUCAAAGGAAUUGACGGGUCCCCGCACAAGCGGCGGAGCAUGCGGCUUAAUUCGAUGCAACCCGAAGAACCUUACCUGGGUUUGACAUCAUGGGAAAAGCCGUAGAAAUACGGUGUCCGAAAGGGCCCAUGACAGGUGGUGCAUGGCUGUCGUCAGCUCGUGUCGUGAGAUGUUGGGUUAAGUCCCGCAACGAGCGCAACCCUUGUCCUAUGUUGCCAGCGGUUCGGCCGGGGACUCAUAGGAGACUGCCGGGGAUAACUCGGAGGAAGGUGAGGACGACGUCAAGUCAUCAUGCCCCUUAUAUCCAGGGCUGCACGCAUGCUACAAUGGCCGGUACAACGGGAAGCGACCCCGCGAGGGUAAGCGAAUCCCUUAAAGCCGGUCCCAGUUCGGAUUGAAGUCUGCAACCCGCUUCAUGAAGCCGG